UAAAUGGUGUCUUUAGACACCACCGAUAUUCUUGAAGUUUAUUU
rfam:Picea glauca, whole genome shotgun sequence.